rnacentral:rRNA from 1 species
GACGGAGGGUGCAAACGUUGUUCGGAAUCACUGGGCGUAAAGGGCGCGUAGGCGGACUUGUAAGUCGGGAGUGAAAACUCGGGGCUCAACCCCGAGCCUGCUUCUGAAACUGCGAGUCUUGAGGACCGGAGAGGAAAGUGGAAUUCCUAGUGUAGCGGUGGAAUGCGUAGAUAUUAGGAAGAACACCAGUGGCGAAGGCGACUUUCUGGACGGUUCCUGACGCUGAGGCGCGAAAGCUAGGGGAGCAAAC